rnacentral:rRNA from 1 species
UACGGGGGGGGCAAGCGUUAUCCGGAAUGAUUGGGCGUAAAGCGUCUGUAGGUGGCUUUUUAAGUCUGCCGUCAAAUCCCAGGGCUUAACCCUGGACAGGCGGUGGAAACUACCAAGCUGGAGUACGGUAGGGGCAGAGGGAAUUUCCGGUGGGAGCGGUGAAAUGCGUAGAUAUCUGGAGGAACACCGGUGGCGAAGGCGGCAUUCGUGGACCGAUAUUGACACUGAGGCGCGAAAGCCAGGGAGCAAACGGG